UUUUUUUUUUUUUUUUUUCCAUCCGGCUGAGGCAUUCUAGUUCCCAGGCCUGGACCAGCGCUGGAGCCUUAGCCCACGGUGCCGGCUGGGGAUUGAACCCGUGUCCCUGCUGCUGCAGACACACUGUCAAUCACCUUGCGCUCCUGCUGGACCUGGACCUCUCGAGCAGCCUCCACCCUGGUCUCCCAGUCCCCAAUCUAUCUGCUGUACGCAUUCUCCACGCAGCUCAUCACACCCCCACACCCCCUGCACACGCACACACGCAGAUCGAAAUCUUUGUGGUUCCCCGUCACCUGUGAGUUCAAGUCCUGGCCUGACGUACCUCCCAACUUGGUUCCGGCUCUGUUUCUUGCUGUUCCCUGCAAUGCCUCCCCAUGCUCUAACAGCCCCCAAACUGUCAAGCCCUGACUCAUUGCACGAGCUGUGCUCUGUCCCUGGGAUUCUGUCACUGGCACCGACAUUCCAUGAUACCCACUAGGUGCUGAGCAUCCUGCAAGAGGCAGGAGGAACAGCAGCGACAAAGCUUUGCAGCAUUCUUGUGGGGCCGUGGGCUUUGGCAAGAGUGAUUCAAUUUCUUUGCUGUCAGGAGAAUGGAAUUUCGUGGUGACUCCUUGAGGUCUGAAAACUGGAGAAGGGUGGCUGGCCCAGCCGCCCCCGCCCCCCUCCCCAGGCUCGGCUCCAGCCUGAGAUGCUCCCCUCCCCUGCCCUCACCCUAGACCCAAAGGCCCCUUCAGGGGACCUACUGGGCCAAACAGCUGUGGGGUGGAAGCAGGGGGUGCUGGGCCCGGGAGAAGGAGGUGGGUGGGGAGGGCUGACCCGGUUGCCAGGAAGCCCCCUGGGGCCUUAGGGUCCUUGGGAAUUGGGAUGGGCGAGAGGCUCUGCCAGGGCCCUCCCCAGACACGGGCACGGGAGUGUAGACCCAGGCUGGGAGCUUCUGGAGAAAGAUUGCUUGCUGUCUAAUCCCAGAGGGGCCACUUCUCAGCUUCAUGACCUUGGACCUGGGGUAUUCCUCCUCUGAGCCUCAGUUUCCCCACUCAGGACGCGAGGACCCAUCUUAUAAGCUGCUCAUGAGUGAUGAGGGCCUCGUGUUCUGGGCCAGGGGUCUGGGCGCCUCCUGGGCAGCCGACCUCCUCUCAGCACGGCCCCUCCACCCACCGCCGAGGGGAGCUGGGUAAUAGAAUGACUUGAGAGCUGCCCAGCGAGGCUUGGGUGGAGACGGCGGAGGACAGGGGCCCGCGUGACCAGUGAGGCCCCUGGGGCUCGGCUCUGCCUCCCCCGUCAGGCUCAGAGGCGGUGUUGUGUACCCAUCACCUGGGGCCUUCUGCAAAUGGAGAAGCGGGUUCUAGCAGUCCCCUUCCCCAUGGGCUCCUGGGGCCUCCCCUGGGUGUCUCUUUCCUGCAAGAUCCAGGAAACAUAAUGGGUGACCCAUUAACUCGAGGGCAGUCAUCCGAGGCAGUUCUGCUCAGUGUCCCGGGAACAGCCUCCUCCAACCCGGCAGCAGAGCCCAGCGAGGGGAGGAAGGCACUGUCCCCAGUUCCACGAGGUGGUGGCAGGAAGGUGGAGCCAGGCAGGGGCCUCACACUGCCCUGUCGGACACAGAGCUGAGAAGGCCCGUCCUCAAGGCUGCCAUUGGAUCGUCCUAGGAGGAGAAGUGGCAGCAGAGGAGCCCCAGACGUCAAGGUGCUGUGGGCUCGCUCAGAGGCAGGGGGUGGCAUGGCCACAGUGGCCCGGAGAGGGUCCAGCCCAGAAGCUUCUGGAUGAAGAGUCAGCGCUGGCAGGAGGGAGGGGAGGGAAUGGAGAGGGGUUGGCUUAGAUGCUGGAUGAACGGGCUCCAUGGCAGCUGAUUUCCGUUUUACUGCUGCCAGGGGGACGCUGCUUGUGAGAACAGACAGCCCACAGCUGCAAAGGAGCCCCCAGCCCCGUCCACCUGCCUCUGCUCCGCCAGAACCCCUCACCCCUGGCCCGUGCUCUGUGUGGUCUUGGGCCAGUGCCCUUCUCUCCAUGAGUCUCAGGAGCUCCCUCGACCCUACAGCAGGGAUCAGGCCACCCUGGAUCCACUGGGGGCUGGAACUCUGCAGACGCAAAGCCCCGCACUGUGGACCCUGAGGGCCUGGCCCUGUGGCCUGAACCCUUGGGCCUGGUGCGUUCAGAGUGGCCAGGCCGACUUUGCCUGGGUGGCUGAGCAAGGCUUCGGAGAGCCCCCUUCAAGGCCAGCCAAGUGCUGCCUUUCCCAGGAAGUCCUCCCCAAGCCCCUAGGGUUCCCCCUGGUCUGGUACUGCCCACCUAAGGGUGUAACUGCCCCUUGCCCUGCCUACCUCCCCAGUAGCCUGGGGGCUCCGUGAGGGCAGAAGUGAUGCUUCGCUUCUCAUCAGAGCCUGGCACAAAGUAGGUGCUCCAUUAUCCCUGGUUGACCAGAGGAGGAAGGGGACAGACGGACGGACGGAUGGAUGGAUGGAUGUGAUCAGGCAGACAUACAGAGGCUCGUGAGAACAAUCCUUCCCCCCAGGCCCCUCCCAGCCAGGGGAACAUGGUCCCAGGGCAAGAAGGCCCGGCAGGACUGCCCGCUGAACUCAGAGCUGGCGCUGGCGGUGGGGCCUGAGGGCAGGGUUGGCCCCAUAAAAGUGGCCAUAGGCCACAUGCCUGUCCUGCUCUGGGAAACAGGAGCAUUCCCCACCCCCCGGGGUACCAUUCAAACUAUGGGUCUUACAGGUGGGACAUGGGGGUCCGCAGAGGGGAAGAGGCAUGCCCUUGACCCCACAGGAAGGUCGGGGGGGUCUCAGCCUUGGGACCAGGGUUUGUGCGCACAGGGAGGGCGGCAGGCCUAGCGCUGGCAGCUGGGUUUCCUCCUGGUGGCUAUGCUGGGGCCACCUUGGUCGUGGGACUGGACAGAGCUAAUCUGAUUUGCAGCCCCCAGUGGCAGAGCCCCCCCACCAGAACCCAUUACCGACAUCCUGCAGAGGCCAGACGCCCACCAGAGAGACACCAGAUCCACUCCGCCCCAGCCCGCCUUUGUCUUGCCAAGAAUGGCUAGUUUGUGCGGGGCCAGGGGUGGGGCAUGACGGUGCUGGUGCCUGCCAGGCUCCAGGGACAGUCCCUUGCCCCAGUCAUGACCCCGUGCCCAUGUCGAUGGGACCAGAUCCCCGACGAGGCAGCUCUGGGCCGAAUGGAGGUAGCAGGCGUCCGAGACUUGGCUUAAAGGAAGACCAGCUUCCUGCGUGACCCUGAGCUGGGCUGUCUCUCCCUGAUCUCAGGCCCCUCCUCUGGGACCCGGAUAGCACUGUCUUCUCCCUACUCAUGGGGGGGACGGGACGUGGCGUCCCUGGGUAUUCCUAGCUGCCCUGGAAGAGAGGGUGGGGGAGGUUCUGUGCCCAGGAGGGACACUUGCACCCACAGGGAGAAAGCUGCCGCCAUGGGUCGCAUCUGUUCACCUGUCUGUCCACUAACACUCCCACCCAGCGGCAUCCCUAGGCAGUUUUUGCAUCCCUGGCUCUGGCUCCAGUGCAGCAUAGGAGGUGACUCAGACACAGCCCCUGCCUCCAGGCAGCUCACCUUCCCGUGGGGAGGAUUUACCCCGCAUCCACAAGUAGGCAGGGGGUGGGAGGGGCUGGAAGGCGGGUCAAGCCCAAGGGUGCCAGGAGCCUGGGCAAGAGGAAUCCACCCUGUGCCAGGGCCAGCGGUACAAGGCUUCAGGAGGGGCUUCCAGGAAAGGAAAUCUGUUCCCCUGGGUGGGAGAGGGAGGCACUGGGGAGCCACAGAUGGUGUGCGAGCAGGGAGGGGGGUGGUCCAGGUUGCUUUAUUAUAUUAACUUAUUUUAUUUUUGGCUGCCCCACGGCAUAUGGAGUUUCUGGGCCAGGGAUCAGAACUGAUCUGAGCCACAGUUGCAACCUAUGCUGUAGCUGCCGCCUUAUCCUUCACCCUCGGUGUGGGGCCGGGGAUUGAACCCGCUCCAGAGACGCUGCCAAUCCCAUUGCAUCACAGAAGGAACUCUGGCCCAGGGUGCUUUGAAGAUGGAAGAGAAGCAGCUGCCAUUAAGCCCAGAUAUCAGGAGUUAACCCUGGUCCUCCC
rnacentral:lncRNA from 1 species